rnacentral:tRNA from 25 species
CGGGGUGUAGCGCAGCCCGGUAGCGCGCCUGCUUUGGGAGCAGGAUGUCGGAGGUUCGAAUCCUCUCACCCCGACCA